rnacentral:rRNA from 1 species
AAUGAACGCUGGCGGCGUGGUUAAGACAUGCAAGUCGAACGGGACUUCGUGAAGGGCAACCGGAUCGAAGUUCAGUGGCGAACGGGUGCGUAACACGUGAACAAUCUACCUCGAAGUGGGGAAUAGCUCGCCGAAAGGCGAAUUAAUACCGCAUGUGGUCGGGACUCGCAUGAGUCUCGACUAAAGUCAGGGACCGCAAGGCCUGACGUUUUGAGAGGAGUUCGCGGCCUAUCAGCUAGUUGGCGAGGUAACGGCUCACCAAGGCUAAGACGGGUAGCUGGUCUGAGAGGAUGAUCAGCC